AGGAAACUGAAAAGAAAAUAAGGACAAGAAAAAACAGAGUCAUAAGAAAGACUUUUGAGAGUUGUCAGAAAGACUUUUGUGCUUAGAAGGCUGUGGAGGCCUAAGCACUGAAAAGAUCAGUAUGUGCUGUGUUUUGGGGGUCUAGUUAGUGCUGCAUCUUUGAGCUGUAACAGUAUUUCUCAAACUGUGCGUCCAGCCAUUGCCUUGGCAGGACUCCAGGUUAAUCCUGUGUAGGGAGAGGAAAGCGCCCGUGGGGCUUGGCAAAAGUUGCUUGUCCUUUCCUCAUGAAGAUAUGCAUUUGUUCCUGGCUAGUGUAGGAGGUGGCUCCUCCUUUCUCUCUGCAUUUGUAGGCUCCAUGAAAACAGAUAAUUCCAGAAGACAGUCUAAUAUGCAAUUGCAGACCCAAAUGUCAUUGUAGAGGUCCGAGACUCUCUCUCCUGACACACAGCUAAAUUGUACAUGCAUGUGCAAGCAGUUUCACAAGCCUACUAAUGAAUGCCCCAAACCAAGUUAGAUGGAACUUACAAGGGAUGAGUAGGGAGAAAACAAAACACCAAGGAGCAAGAAAGACGAAAAAGCACAAAGAACAGUGAGAAAGAAAUUCAAAGUGUAGAACAUAGUGUAAACAGGUAUCAUCUAUGCCACACCAUGAAAGGAGGGCAUUCUGUUGUUGAAUCACAUGUUGCAGGCCCCCAUAAGUGUGCAAUACACAAAGUAUGGAAGAUGAUGUGCAAGGCAGGUGUGUAAAAAGGAUGAGCAAACAGAGGAGGAUAGUGAACAAAGAAAAAUCGAGAAGAAAGUUUUUGAAAAAGGAAGAGGUCAGAAUUAAAAAUAAUGACACAAAAGCUGGUAUUGAAGAAAAGGGGUGAGACAGUAGAAGGAAAGAUGAAAGAAAGUACAGCCACUGAUUUGAUGUGCUGGUUUUCAUUAGAAAUGUAUCCUUUUGCCACUUCUGGAUGCCAUACACAUAUAUAAGAAAAUACAAGCUUUUGAGCUUAACAGGGUAAAGGUCCCUUCCAGAACCCUGGCACUAAAAACCACCUGCAAAACCCAAUAAAACAACCUUCGGUAUUAAAUCGAUGUCAGUGUUAAAUAACAUCCUGUGCCAGGCAGGGAGAUGCCAGCCCAGCUGGAUGAAUACAUGCCAGAGCAUUUAGAUGAUAACUGGUAUGAUGAAUCAAACUCUUAAGCAAAUAGAUACCUAGGUAAAGAGCAGGGCGACCAAAUUCCAUGGUGCACUACCCUGCUAUCUCCGCUGGGUUGCAAAAUGCAUGAGUCAGAGGUAGAAGAUAGCCCUUGGCAGUAUCUGUGGAGAGUACUAUGAUCCCCACUUAAGCAAACCCAGGCGUUCUUGCUUCCUGAUGUUUCUGGGCUGUUUUCAAGGUGCUUUCUAGCAGUACUCUCCCCCAGUGUCUAUGUGGCAGUCAACCAAGGUCUGCAUCAGUAAGAAAGGGUUCAUUUACUAGAAGGAAAUGAGUGCUGCAAGCAGGACAUCAGGUGCUCGGGAGACGGCAACCUCAGAGUCUGACCUCCUGUUGCACAGUUGUGGUCCAGAGUCUGAGCUGCCAUUAUAAAAACAACAAACAGGCCAGAUCCUCAGCUGGCAUAGAGCCACAGAAGCUCAGCAUAGAGCUUGAGCUCUGUCGUCUUCAUCUCUUGUGGCACUGAAGAUUAUGGUUAAAAAGGUGCCCAGCAUGUAACAGAUGAAGUAAAGUGUACUGAAUUCACCAGCAACCUUAAGUAAAAGCCUAAGCUGCUUAAUUUAUUCUUGGAAUCAUUUUACUACUGAGCUUUUUUUACCUUUCUUGUGGGUGCUGUCACAAAUGGCCCGUGGGAACAGUGGAAUUGUCAUUCCUGGACGUUUUCAAGAACAUCACUAUUGGGAUUGAAAUGGAUGCAACCAAAGCCGAGGAACUGACUAGACCAUCUCUUGGUGUCUCUUCCAACCUAAUUUUUUUCUAUGAUUUUAGCAAAUGCAUUCAGUUACUGUCCUAAGCUUGCAGUGUUACACUGCUUCCACCAGGCUUGUGUAACAAAAGCCCCAACUACCAGACCCCUUGGCUUCCUCCAUGGCUACUCAUGCAAUACAAAAUGUGGUGGUGGUAUCAGUUUUGCAGAAGGUUGGGAAAUCAAGAUCUGAACCAUGGUGACAAUGUAAAGUAAGAAGUAAAGAAAGAUAUCAAAGUUAAUAGCUAGCCAGCUUAUUACAGUGUUUCAUGUCCCGCUCAAAAUAAUUUUCUGCUUCAAAUUUGGGUGACAGUUGCCACAAAAACUCUCACAUGCUCAGAACAGUACUGAGGCAAACUGGGCCUGGAUUCUGAAGAAAGGAGCCAGAACAAGGUGCUAGAUCUCCUUCUAGGUGUUUCCCAAAAGAGAUUUAGCUCACCAGAGUUGGACAUCUGCUCUCCAAGCAUCCUGCUGUCCCUUCACAUCCACCAAGUGCUCUUGACACUUCACCUUGCCUGUAUCUGCUUGGCUUCUGCCUGUGAUUGGAACCAACGUGGAAUCUCUGGCUCCAUUUCCCUCACUGUAGGAUGCAAAUGCACAGGCUGUAUGAGGCAAAAACAAGAAGUAGAGCUGGACAUUAGCUGUUUCCUGGCGAUUUACAGACUGCCACUGCAGCUUGCUUUCUCUCUCCCUCCCAUCCCCUGUCCUCCUGUCCCUUCAUUUCCCAGGGCCUCCUCUGGCACAUGCCUUUUGUGGCCUAGGGAGGAGAGAGAUGGGAGGAGAGGAUGGCAGGUCACCUGAGUGGAACCAGGAACCAGCAGAAUUCAACCUCAAAAACAUGAAUUGGUGGGUCAGGAUACUGCCCCGGGGUGGACAGGACUGGGGAAGGUGACUACAGUUAAAGCAGAGAAUGACGUGCUGUCUGCUAAACGAAGUUACUCAUCUGGGAUAUUUCUGCACAUCUGGUCACCUUCCACAGAGUGUCUCGAGAGUCGUGGUGUAUGAGGGAGAAGAGAGACUUUCAAAGGAUUCGCUGGAUUUCCGAUGGCAAACAUCAAACAAAAUGGGUAUUGUUUCACAAAUACACAAAGUAUAUAGGGACAUGGAAGUAGAAUCUCCAACGAUGGCCACCGCAGAAGCAGUACCUACAGUAAUUUAUGUGGUAGAUUCAUCUGCAGAUUAUGUUACCUAACAAGCAAUGCAAGAAAGCAAAGGAAACCCAAAACCUUUUUUAAGCAAUGCUCGAUACUUCCAAUUAUAGUUGGCACAGUUUAUUGACUUUUUUUAAGGAAUUGAACAUGACUAUAUUAAAACCAUGAGGAUGCGUGAAGCA